UGGGCGAUUCCGCUAUAGACGAUUUUUGACAUGAAUUUCUAAAUCACGCUAUUUGUUACUUUUUUUUAUAUCGGUACAAAGAAAAAGGUAUAAAUUUAUUAAAACAUUUUUUAUUUUUUAUUUUACUUCAUAUUUAAAUUUUUGGCGCGCUUGGAAACAUUAUCAUUCGAAGAAUUGGCUGAAUCUGCAAAAUCACAACGUGGCAACACUGGCACGAAAGAGCUGUUACCGACAGUUUCAGUUUAUGUUCUACCGGCUAAAUGUGUAGUGAAAAUAUUGUUUUAUUCUUAUGUGCAAAAAAAUAUUUGGCACGCAGUCUGUCUAAAAACAUCUUCUUUAUAUUCGUAGCAAAAGAAGAAGUUAAAGAAAAGAUGGCCAUGUUGGAUGCUAAAUGAGAAGGACUGAAAAAUAUACCAGGCAUUCAAUAAAAACAUUUCUUCCAACCUGAAGUUGGGAAUGAUAGUAUUUCCGUGGCGCAAACUUCACUGUCUCAUCUCAUAUGCAGACUAGUUUUGAAAUCUCCGAAAACCACUACUGAAACAAAAAGUGAUUGGGAUGACGAUGACUUGGAACCUCUUACAAAUAAAAUACAAGAAGGAAAUCUCUGUCCUUCAGUAUCAGAUCAGAGUAAAUCUUUUGUCCCACUUAAAACAAAAUUGCGCAUUUCAGAUGUUUUCAGACGACGAAUAUCCUCUUCAACCCUCAAAAAUACUCGCAGAAGCAUGCCCUGAAACUGGUUCUGCCUGUGCUGAUGUCUUACCAAGAGAUAUUAGCGCUGGUUUUUACGUGCUCGUGUAAUUGCUCUGUAAGUCUGGCAAAAAAGUACUCAAUACCGCUAUGUAGGGGUGUGUCAGAGCGAUAUGGACGAAGAUGGAGAGGUUAGAGUACAAUUCCUGACGACGGUUGAUGGCAAGCAUUUCACUGAAAUUGUUAAUGACAAAGCAGACGUACGAUUUUAAGAUAUUAUCGCGAAGUUGGAAGCGCCAAAGAAAAAGAUUGACGGAAAAAAUACGUUUGUAGAAUUUUCGGCGAAUAUAGACGUAUUUGAAAAGAAAUAAAUAAUAUAAGUGACAAAGAAGUGUUCUGAUUAGUAAUAAACAUUGAUUGAUAUCUUAUUUUAUUCCUGUAAAAGUUUUAUUGAUGUUUGUAUUCACUUAAAUUAGACGGGUUGCACCCGCGAUAAUUUGAUGUUGCACCCGCGAUUGCUUUAAAAGUGAAUAAUUCUGUGUUUAUUUUUGUUUCCUAUAAAAAAAUAUAUUUGUUUACUUGGUUAGUUUAACGCCUUACGAAAUACGAAGGCAUAACAUAAUAAAAGUUUCACAAUUAACAGA